AUUGAACGCUGGCGGCAUGCCUUACACAUGCAAGUCGAACGGCAGCACGGGAGCAAUCCUGGUGGCGAGUGGCGAACGGGUGAGUAAUAUAUCGGAACGUGCCCAGUCGUGGGGAUAACGUAGCGAAAGCUACGCUAAUACCGCAUACGAUCUAUGGAUGAAAGCGGGGGAUCGCAAGACCUCGCGCGAUUGGAGCGGCCGAUAUCAGAUUAGGUAGUUGGUGAGGUAAAGGCUCACCAAGCCGACGAUCUGUAGCUGGUCUGAGAGGACGACCAGCCACACUGGGACUGAGACACGGCCCAGACUCCUACGGGAGGCAGCAGUGGGGAAUUUUUGGGACAAUGGGCGAAAGCCUGAUCCAGCAAUGCCGCGUGCAGGAAGAAGGCCUCGGUUGUAAC
rnacentral:rRNA from 1 species